rnacentral:rRNA from 1 species
UACGUAGGGCGCAAGCGUUAUCCGGAAUUACUGGGCGUAAAGAGCUCGUAGGCGGUGUGUCGCGUCGGCCGUGAAAACCUGCAGCUUAACUGUGGGCGUGCGGUCGAUACGGGCAUCACUGGAGUUCGGCAGGGGAGACUGGAAUUCCUGGUGUAGCGGUGAAAUGCGCAGAUAUCAGGAGGAACACCGGUGGCGAAGGCGAGUCUCUGGGCCGAUACUGACGCUGAGGAGCGAAAGCGUGGGGAGCGAACAGG